CUGUAACUUUUUAUGCCAGUCAUGCACCACCAACCGAAUGAAAAACCAAUUAAAUGCGAAACAAUCAUCAUUAGGCAGUGCCACAAAAUGAUAAUUCAAAUGUUUUCGGCUGAGUGGCCAAAGCGAAUCGAAACCCGAGAACAUAACAACUAUAACUAAGUAUGUACACCGUGAAAUUGAACAAAUAAUACGCCAAGAAAGUAGGCGCCGAAUAAAAAACCGAAGAGGAGAUUGGAAAAAGUUCGAAACCAACUAUUAUUAAUGAUCUGAUAUAUCAAUCGGCUGGCAGAUCAAAGAGGUUGAGGCUGAGGUUGAGGUUGGCCAGUUGUAAAAUGUACAGAUUAAAAUUUGAACAGGGUAAAUAUUUCGGAUACGAACAGUUGGAAUUCCUUGGAGCGCACAAUAUGCACAAAAUGCCAAACUAAACCCAAAACUAAAAUUGGUAGGUGGGGUGGAGGAGUUCUGUUAGUGGAUGUUUGAGAGCCAGCCAUCAAAGACAUUUAAGCAUUUUGCGGUUUUUUGUGUGCCCGGGAUGCCUUUUGUCCUGUGGCAGGACAUGUGCAGCAAAGUGUCGCAUAUGUGGCUCGACUUUUUUACAUGAUAUCCUCGCUAGGAAGCUGGGAUUCAUCCUGCCGCUUUGGGUCGCUUAUUGCCAGGCAUUUAUGAAUUUUCGUGCGGAAUUUUGGGGCGGGCGACUUGAAAAGCCUGAGAAACCCAGACAACUAUUACCAAAAGCACAAGAACGAGACUGACGAGCUGAGGUUAACAAACUGCCAGCUAAAGACCGACCAACCUCUAAGUGAUGUGUGUGAUGCGAGUACUUCUCUCACUUUUUCUAGUUUUAAUUUAUAUGUAAAUUAGCCAGCUCUGUGGAGAUGGUGAAAAAAGCAUCUGCUGAAUGAAGGCAACUAUUAGCACAAAGCUGUAAGUAAUGACAAGCUGAGUGCAAUUUGAUGACAGUUGCCAGUCAGAUGGAGCAGCUUAUCCCCAAGCCAGUCGAAUCGAUCCCAAAUUGAUGGGUAAAAAUAUAUCAGCCUCAUUUAGACCACAACAAAUCCCACUCGGCCAUGACAAAUCAGGCAUAAAAUUGUACAAUUUACGAACAAGUUCAUCUCUGGUCAGACAUCAUAAAUUAAACAAAGUUUAAUCAAACAGAAGCGGCACAACCACUUCGCAGAUCAUCCGAUGUUUUUCCAAUUUUCUCACAGUUCACUUUUAUGAUCCACAAAUCACUCGGGGCGAAAUGCGAAGAAGCCACCUCUCUGGGUUUAUUUAAACAUUAAUUAAAUGCCCGAACAUGGGAGUGAAGUAGCACAAAUAUCAGGCGUGAAAGUCUGCAUACUGGAAUACAAAAUUUAUGAAAGCCGCCACAACAUUUUAACGCCAGUUGGUAAUCGACAACCUCAUCGUAAUCGCAAACGCAAUUGCAAUCAUCCACUGACAGUCGUCAUAAUUUAUGGGUCCUUCUGCUGUUUGCUCUGGCUCCUCCUGGUCUCCUCAAAUAGCCCAAUAACAUAUCAACUAAAUUGAUAAAAACCACAAAAAGCGACAGACGACAAUCAACUGAACAGAACGGGAGCAGAUUGUUAAGGUGUAUGGUCAUGGGUCGACUUGUUUAUGUCCCUGCAAAAAGACUUAGCUGGAAGCUUCGAAAUAUUUCCUUCUGGAGUCUAUGAGUGUUUUUGCCCCAUGUCCCCGUCAGCUACAGGGUACCUACCGUACCAAUUGGGAGCUGCUGACUGACGGCAAUCGAAAGCUAUGCAAUAAUAAUAACAGCAACAGCACAAAGUCAGGAGGUGAGCCAACAGAGAACAGCUGCCAACAUUCACACGUCAUUUAAUUUCGAUUAGUCGCCCGAAAGGUCCGAAUGGCCCGAAAGACAAAUAAAGCGACAAAUGCAGUGUCGAAUGCGAAUGGAAAGCCAAAUGUUCUGUGGUCAAUACUUUGUCUUUGGUAAUUGUCGCCUGCGACCACGAAGAAUGUACAAAAUGCCUUACUGGCACUUGGAUGUGCCAGAGCAUUGCGAACGCGUCGCCUUAAUUUUUCAAUUCUCCCCUGAAAAUAUCGAUCUUCGAUCACUCCACCGGUUUUUUGUCUUUGCCAGCUUGCAGCUGAAUAUCUUGAUCAUUAUUCGUGCUCGGAUAGCAAUCACACUUUUGGACUGCAUUCGAUUCCUACAUUUGAUUGAUGACUGCAUAUUGCUCGCUGGGAGUUCGAAAGGUGAGAGAAAUCUGUUAAUGAACCUUGAAUUGCAUCCGCUUCUAGUUAAUUUUUGGGAAUAAACUGAUUGACCCAUGAGAAAUUGCCCGGGGUAAUGGACCAGUGAUAAGCUCUGAAUUUGAUUUUGAUUGAAUGGGAGUGAGAAAGCUAUUUUAAAUGAGAUUAUUUUAAGUUCAAAAGAAAGACAUUAAACAUAGAGUUUUUAAAUUGUUGAAUGUA